GACGAACGCUGGCGGCGUGCUUAACACAUGCAAGUCGAACGGUCGAGCUCCAGCUUUCUGGAGUGGAUCAUUGGCGAACGGGUGAGUAACACGUGAGCAACCUGCCCCUGACUCUGGGAUAAGCGCUGGAAACGGCGGCUAAUACUGGAUACGAGAAUUUUCCGCAUGUGCACUUUCUGUAAAGGUGGUCGGUAGUGGCUGGUCUCGCGGCCUAUCAGCUUGUUGGUGAGGUAAUGGCUCACCAAGGCGACGACGGGUAGCCGGCCUGAGAGGGCGACCGGCGACACUGGGACUGAGACACGGACCAGACGCGUACGGGAGGCAGCAGUGGGGAAUAUUGCACAAUGGGCGAAAGCGUGAUGUAGCGACGCCGCGUGAGGGAUGACGGCCUUCGGGUUGUAAACAUCUUUCAGCAGGGAAGAAGCGAAAGUGACGGUACCUGCAGAAGAAGCACCGGCUAACUACGUG
rnacentral:rRNA from 1 species